AUUGAACGCUGGCGGCAUGCCUAACACAUGCAAGUCGAACGGCAGCACGGCAGUAGCAAUACUGUGGGCGGCGAGUGGCGAACGGGUGAGUAAUACAUCGGAACGUGCCCGAGAGUGGGGGAUAACGCAGCGAAAGCUGUGCUAAUACCGCAUACGAUCUCAGGAUGAAAGCAGGGGACCGCAAGGCCUUGCGCUCACGGAGCGGCCGAUGGCAGAUUAGGUAGUUGGUGGGAUAAAAGCUUACCAAGCCGACGAUCUGUAGCUGGUCUGAGAGGACGACCAGCCACACUGGGACUGAGACACGGCCCAGACUCCUACGGGAGGCAGCAGUGGGAAUUUUGGACAAUGGGGGGAACCCUGAUCCAGCCAUGCCGCGUGCAGGAUGAAGGCCUCGGUUGUAAACUGCUUUGUACGGAACGAAAAGGACGUCUGGUUAAUACCCGGGACGUCAUGACGGUACCGUAAGAAUAAG
rnacentral:rRNA from 1 species